UAACCCGGACCGAGGAAAGGGGCCAAGGUCCCACCGUACGGAGGAUCUAGUGACUGGGGUG
rnacentral:rRNA from 1 species